GAACGCUGAAGAGAGGAGCUUGCUCUUCUUGGAUGAGUUGCGAACGGGUGAGUAACGCGUAGGUAACCUGCCUUGUAGCGGGGGAUAACUAUUGGAAACGAUAGCUAAUACCGCAUAACAAUGGAUGACACAUGUCAUUUAUUUGAAAGGGGCAAUUGCUCCACUACAAGAUGGACCUGCGUUGUAUUAGCUAGUAGGUGAGGUAAUGGCUCACCUAGGCGACGAUACAUAGCCGACCUGAGAGGGUGAUCGGCCACACUGGGACUGAGACACGGCCCAGACUCCUACGGGAGGCAGCAGUAGGGAAUCUUCGGCAAUGGGGGCAACCCUGACCGAGCAACGCCGCGUGAGUGAAGAAGGUUUUCGGAUCGUAAAGCUCUGUUGUAAGUCAAGAACGGGUGUGAGAGUGGAAAGUUCACACUGUGACGGUAGCUUACCAGAAAGGGACGGCUAACUACGUGCCAGCAGCCGCGGUAAUACGUAGGUCCCGAGCGUUGUCCGGAUUUAUUGGGCGUAAAGCGAGCGCAGGCGGUUUGAUAAGUCUGAAGUUAAAGGCUGUGGCUCAACCAUAGUUCGCUUUGGAAACUGUCAAACUUGAGUGCAGAAGGGGAGAGUGGAAUUCCAUGUGUAGCGGUGAAAUGCGUAGAUAUAUGGAGGAACACCGGUGGCGAAAGCGGCUCUCUGGUCUGUAACUGACGCUGAGGCUCGAAAGCGUGGGGAGCGAACAGGAUUAGAUACCCUGGUAGUCCACGCCGUAAACGAUGAGUGCUAGUGUUGGAUCCUUUCCGGGAUUCAGUGCCGCAGCUAACGCAUUAAGCACUCCGCCUGGGGAGUACGACCGCAAGGUUGAAACUCAAAGGAAUUGACGGGGGCCCGCACAAGCGGUGGAGCAUGUGGUUUAAUUCGAAGCAACGCGAAGAACCUUACCAGGUCUUGACAUCCCGAUGCUAUUUCUAGAGAUAGAAAGUUACUUCGGUACAUCGGUGACAGGUGGUGCAUGGUUGUCGUCAGCUCGUGUCGUGAGAUGUUGGGUUAAGUCCCGCAACGAGCGCAACCCCUAUUGUUAGUUGCCAUCAUUCAGUUGGGCACUCUAGCGAGACUGCCGGUAAUAAACCGGAGGAAGGUGGGGAUGACGUCAAAUCAUCAUGCCCCUUAUGACCUGGGCUACACACGUGCUACAAUGGUUGGUACAACGAGUUGCGAGUCGGUGACGGCGAGCUAAUCUCUUAAAGCCAAUCUCAGUUCGGAUUGUAGGCUGCAACUCGCCUACAUGAAGUCGGAAUCGCUAGUAAUCGCGGAUCAGCACGCCGCGGUGAAUACGUUCCCGGGCCUUGUACACACCGCCCGUCACACCACGAGAGUUUGUAACACCCGAAGUCGGUGAGGUAACCUUUUGGAGCCAGCCGCCUAAGGUGGGACAGAUGAUUGGGGUGAA
rnacentral:rRNA from 1 species